UUCGGAUGAGGGAUUUCCAAACGCACGACUCUUCCUCUUUCGAACGGGCGAUCUUCCUUGCGAGAGCUCUUCCCUCUUUCGAACGGCGCAAUCUUCCUCGCCAGAGAUCUGAAUCCUUGAAGAUUCAUCUCAAAUAGGUUGUUGCCCCUGUUUGGGAAACUUGUGCUCAAGCACUAGGUGCCACACUUAAGUACAUGCAUCCUUCAGUAGUUCAUGAAACACUGAAUAUCUUACUACAGAUGCAGGCAAAAUCAGGAAUCAUUUGUCCCUGGAAGAGGUUUUGGAAGGGGUGGGAUGGGUGGCAGGAUGAUGGCGGGACGUGGCUUUGGUAAUUCUCUUCCAUAGUUUUAGAACAUCAUGACAUGCAAUGGGAUUUUGAUGAAACCUUGUAUGAGAUCUGGACUGUUCAUCUGUUGUCCCUGCCUUGAAUGUGCCAUACUCCAAAAAUCAGAUGUUCCUAGCCGCUGAUCAAGGGACAUAAUUCCUAUCUACUGUUGACAAUAUUUGGCUGGAGGUGUAAUUCUCAGAAGCAUCCAAUCAGUGGCUUGGAUCACCCAACCAGUGUGAUUUUUGGGCUGUGGCCCAUUAUGUCAUAGGGCCCAACAAUGGAAGGCAUGAUUGUUCCAAUGCUUGAAGCUGUGAUGGCUGUUGUACCUGUUGAGAAGCUUGCUGU